GUAGGUGAACCUGCGGAAGGAUCAUUAACACGUAUCCACGUAUCAAACCCCUCUGUGCAACUCUAAAUAACGUUAGGCUGGUCUUAGUGCACUUGUUCGCAUAGAUCUUAAUGAUGGGAGGCUCUUAACGGGGCCUCGGGAUCUGAGCAGGUGUGCGUUCGACGAUUGGCCGCUAUUUUCCCAUUGUUAGCCCAACCAAAAUUUUAACCCCUUUGUACUAUUCUGUACUGAACCAAAACUUCUCGAGUUU
rnacentral:misc_RNA from 1 species